GCCGCUCCGAGCCUCUGCCAGCGGCCUAGCCAAAGGCCCGCCGCCAUGUCCCGGAUACUGGUCGUGGGCGCCGGGCUAACCGGAAGUCUGUGUACCGUGCUGCUGAGGAAGCUAGUAACCGCCCCCGUGUACCUCGCCCUGUGGGAAAAGACUGGGGACGUAGGGGGAAGAAUGGCUACUACCAGCAAUCCUCAUAAUCCCCAAUGCAUAGCUGACUUGGGAGCUCAGUACAUCACCUGCACUCCUCAGUAUGCCAAAGAGCACCAAAAUUUUUAUGAGGAGCUGUUAGCUCAUGGGAUUUUGAAGCCUCUGACAUCUCCCAUUGAAGGAAUGAAAGGGAAGGAAGGAAGUUGCAACUUUGUUUCUCCUUAUGGAGUUUCUUCCAUUAUCAAGUACUACUUGAAAAAAUCAGACACUGAAGUCUUCCUCAACCAGUGUGUUACUCACAUCAACCUGAAAGAUAACAAGUGGGAAGUCUCCAAGGACACAGGCUCCCCUGAGCUGUUUGACCUUGUCAUCCUCACCAUGCCAGUUCCUCAGAUUCUGAAACUUCAAGGUGACAUUGUGAACUGUGUGUUCAGAAGAAGGGUCAGGAAACCAGCGUGGACUGCUUUGCCUGGAACUAACUCAAGAUGACUCUGAGCUCCCAGCUCUCCCUCUGAUUCAUGCUGCUACUACAUGAUAGACUGGCCUCAGUAGAUGUUACAAUUUGAAUCUGCUCUGCGCUGUGCUCCAGUCAUGGAGGCCCUGUCACCAUAACUCCCUACUAUGAUGGCAUGUACAUUCCAAGCACAAACGACGUAAGUCCUUUCUCUCAGACUCACCUCUCAGCAGGUAUGUGGUGACAGUACAGCCACAAAGCA